CUAGGGCCCAUCUCACUUCACUCUCCAAGAUUUCUGGUUCAAUCUCAUUGGAUUAACUAUUGAGGUCAUCACUGCUGUUAAGAUCCUUCCUGUAUAGAUCGUCAGUGUAUUCCUGCCAUCUUUUCUUUAACUGAUCUUCUUCUGUUAGGUCCCUGCCAUUUUUGUCCUUUAUCACACCCACUUUGGCAUGAAAGGUAACUUUAAG